rnacentral:misc_RNA from 1 species
AAGUCGUAACAAGGUCUCCGUUGGUGAACCAGCGGAGGGAUCAUUACAGAGUCUUAAAACACUCCCAACCCUUUGUAAACAUACCUAUUUCGUUGCUUCGGCAGGUGGCCCCAGGGAGGGGCUUUAGCUGCAAGGCACCUGCCGGAGAACACAAACUCUUUCUUUAGUGAUCUUCAGAGCAACAAAACAAAUAAGUUAAAA